AUGAGACUGCUGGGUCUCCUCCUGUUCCUGGGGACAGCUCCCCAGGGCAUACUGUCCCAGGUGCAGCUGCAGGAAUCGGGCCCAGGACUCGUGAAGCCCUCAGAGACCCUCUCCCUCACCUGCACUGUCUCUGGAUUCUCUUUAACGAGCUAUGGUGUUCAGUGGACUCGCCAGGUUCCAGGGAAGGGGCUGGAGUGGGUUGGUACUAUAUGGAGUGGUGGAAGCACGUACCACAACCCAAGGCUGAAAUCCCGACUCAGCAUCACCAAGGACACCUCCAAGAACCUAGUUUAUUUGACACUGAACAGCCUGAGAGCUGAAGACACAGCCAUGUAUUACUGUGCAAGAAGCACAGUAAGAGGAAGUCAGUGUGAGCCUAGACAGAAACCUCCUGCAGGAGACAAGGAGGGUGUCCACACCCAGGUGAAGCUGGUGCAGUCUGGAGUAGAGGUAAGGAAGCCUGGGGCCUUAGUGAAGGUCUCCUGCAAGGCUUCUGGAUACACCUUCAACGGCUACAAUAUGGACCGCACAUGA